rnacentral:rRNA from 1 species
CAAUAGCGUAUAUUAAAGUUGUUGCAGUUAAAAAGCUCGUAGUUGGAUUUCUGGUCGGAAGCUCCUGUCCUCUGAUGAGCGUACAAGUGCGUCCUACCAUCCUUCUGUUAACCUUUAAGGCUUUCGCGGCUUUCUAGGGGCUCAGAUAUUUUACCUUGAGAAAAUUAGAGUGUUUCAGGCAGGCUAGCGCCGGAAUACAUUAGCAUGGAAUAAUGGAAUAGGACUUUUGCCUCUUCUGUUGGUCAUGAGGCUCGAGUAAUGAUUAAUAGGGAUAGUUGGGGGCAUUAGUACUUAACUGUCAGAGGUGAAAUUUUCGGAUUUGUUAAAGACUAACUUAUGCGAAAGCAUUUGCCAAGGAUGUUUUCAUUAA